rnacentral:rRNA from 1 species
GCAAGUCGUGCGAGAAAGUAUCUUCGGAUAUGAGUAGAGCGGCGGACGGGUGAGUAACGCGUAGGAAUCUACCUAGUAGAAGGGGAUAGCCCGAGGAAACUCGGAUUAAUACCGUAUACCUCCUUCGGGAGAAAGAAGGCCUCUCUUUGAAGCUUUCGCUACUAGAUGAGCCUGCGUAAGAUUAGCUUGUUGGUGAGGUAAAGGCUCACCAAGGCUUCGAUGGGUAGCUGGUCUGAGAGGAUGAUC